CAAAUAAUAUCUUUGUUUCAGGAAAAAGCUCCGAUGGAGAUAAAUGUUUUGUUAGCAGCCAGAAGGUUCAUUUCUGACGAAACCCUAGUUCUCCUAGCAGAUCUUCCCACGUUAGAGCUGUUUCCCCUAGUUGCUCUGGCAAGGGCAGAUGUUUUUGGUGAGGCUGUUAAGUGGGUUAACCAUUUUAAUAAUAUUUUCACCUGUGACUGUGAGUGGGAAAGCUGAGCCUGGCCCAAAUGCUUAAGGAGCCUCUUGAGUUCUGUUCGGAUGGUGCCAAUGUGAGUGUCCCAUACCUCAAGUGGACAGGCCUCCUCCAGCUCGGGCCAACGCUGAGCACCAUUCUGUCCUACCCACUUCGUACUUCCAGGAGUCAGUCCCGUUCCUCUGUCCAAGUCCCGGUCCAGAGGGACUUUCAGGGGGUAGCACCGACAGCAUGGCUGCCCCUCCCACCAGUCAGGUCACCCAGUGCUGCCACCGAGGUGGGGAGGCCUUCCUGAGCAGGUGCUCAAAGGGCUGCUGCGAGAACAGAGGGAGAGCUCUCCAAACCCCAGCACGGUUCUCAGUCAUCAUGAGACCGGAACACAGAGGCCCACACACGACCGCUGGACAUGUUUAAGAAAAUGCCAAUGUAUUUCCACUAGAAAAAUCCUCUUUUCCUAAAUACAUGUCUCUAUGUUGAAUAAGUUAAAAUAGCAUCUCC
rnacentral:lncRNA from 1 species